UACGUAGGGGGCUAGCGUUGUCCGGAAUCAUUGGGCGUAAAGCGCGUGUAGGCGGUUCGGUAAGUCCGCUGUGAAAGUCGGGGGCUCAACCCUCGAAUGCCGGUGGAUACUGCCGGACUAGAGUACGGAAGAGGCGAGUGGAAUUCCUGGUGUAGCGGUGAAAUGCGCAGAUAUCGGGAGGAACACCAAUGGCGAAGGCAGCUCGCUGGGACGGUACUGACGCUGAGACGCGAAAGCGUGGGGAGCAAACAGG
rnacentral:rRNA from 1 species